rnacentral:rRNA from 1 species
ACGAACGCUGGCGGCAGGCUUAACACAUGCAAGUCGAGCGCCCCGCAAGGGGAGCGGCAGACGGGUGAGUAACGCGUGGGAAUCUACCCAUCUCUACGGAACAACUCCGGGAAACUGGAGCUAAUACCGUAUACGUCCUUCGGGAGAAAGAUUUAUCGGAGAUGGAUGAGCCCGCGUUGGAUUAGCUAGUUGGUGGGGUAAUGGCCUACCAAGGCGACGAUCCAUAGCUGGUCUGAGAGGAUGAUCAGCCACACUGGGACUGAGACACGGCCCAGACUCCUACGGGAGGCAGCAGUGGGGAAUAUUGGACAAUGGGCGCAAGCCUGAUCCAGCCAUGCCGCGUGAGUGAUGAAGGCCCUAGGGUUGUAAAGCUCUUUCAACGGUGAAGAUAAUGACGGUAACCGUAGAAGAAGCCCCGGCUAACUUCGU